CGCGGCCUAUCAGCUUGUUGGUGGGGUAACGGCCUACCAAGGCGACGACGGGUAGCGGGUCUGAGAGGACGAUCCGCCGGACUGGGACUGAGAUACGGCCCAGACUCCUACGGGGGGCAGCAAUUAGGAAUCUUGCGCAAUGGGCGAAAGCCUGACGCAGCGACGCCGCGUGGGUGAGGAAGGCCUUCGGGCUGUAAAGCCCUUUUAGGUGGGAAGAAACGAAUGACGGUACCACCUGAAUAAGCUCCGGCUAACUACGUGCCAGCAGCCGCGGUAAUACGUAGGGAGCGAGCGUUGUCCGAAGUUACUGGGCGUAAAGCGCGCGUAGGCGGGCUGUUAAGUGAGAGGUGAAAGGCUGGGGCUCAACCCCAUGCAGUGCCUCUCAUACUGGCGGUCUUGAGUGCGGCAGGGAGAAGUGGAAUGGCUGGUGUAGCGGUGAAAUGCGUAGAUAUCAGUCGGAACACCGGUGGCGAAGGCGGCUUCUUGGGCCUGGACUGACGCUGAGGCGCGAAAGCUGGGGGAGCGAACGGGAUUAGAUACCCCGGUAGUCCCAGCCGUAAACGAUGGAUACUAGGUGUCGGGGGUAUCGACCCCUCCGGUGCCGCAGCUAACGCAUUAAGUACCCCGCCUGGGGAGUACGG
rnacentral:rRNA from 1 species